CAGGCCUAACACAUGCAAGUCGAACGAUGCUUACGGGCAUAGUGGCGCACGGGUGCGUAACGCGUGGGAAUCUGCCCCUUGGUUCGGAAUAACAGCUAGAAAUGGCUGCUAAUACCGGAUGACGACGUAAGUCCAAAGAUUUAUCGCCGAGGGAUGAGCCCGCAUACGAUUAGCUUGUUGGUGAGGUAAUGGCUCACCAAGGCGUCUACAGGUAGCCGGGCUGAUAGGGUGACCGGCCACACUGGGACUGAGACACGGACCACACUCCUACGGGAGGCACCAGUGGGGAAUAUUGCACAAUGGGCGGAAGCCUGAUCCAUCCAUGCCGCGUGAGUGAUGAAAGCCUUAGGGUUGUGAAGCUCUCUCGUCCGGGACGAUAAUGACCGUACCGGAAGAAUAAGCCCCGGCUAACUUCGUGCCAGCAGCCGCGGUAAU
rnacentral:rRNA from 1 species